CAUAAUAUUAGUUGCAGUUACCCUCCGACAGUCAAACACUUCGCUUGUUUUCCUAUUGCAUUGAAAUACAAUCUCUAGUGUUAAACACAACCAGUCCUAUCAACUCGGGCGACUCUUCGUGAAUUAUUUCGUUUUAUGAGACGCAGAGGACGGGACACAACCUGCACUUGUGGUUCGGUUUAGCGUGUCCCGGAAAACGUCGCAGAUGUGUAAACGCUUCGACAGCAGCGACCGCUCUGUGACUGUGACCCGUCCAUGAUGUAUAUAAAGCUGACGUUACGCGCUGCGUCCUGUUCCGUCAACAACAGUCAAAGGAGCAGUUUAACUGAAUCACAGUGAUACACGGCGCCCCAUUCGUCUGGGGAGUGGUUGCUAACAACAACUUAAAAACAUAUGUUCAUCUCCACCAUCAGGCACAACGACUCACAUUGACAAUGGAAAAACCACAGCCACGGAUGUCUUCUGGGCGCACAAAGAAGACAAGAAGGAUUCUCUCCUAUCAGACCCCCUACUUUCUGAUGUCUGAAGACAAUGAUGAUGUGAUGAUGCCAGAUGCAGUGGACGUACAGGAUGGACAGGACAACUCCACAUUUAGCUCAGAGAGGAUCAUCUACUACGCUCUCCUCUUUCUAAAAGUGGGACUGUGGAUCACCUUUGCUUGGAUCUUGUCCUAUCUCCACCUGGGCGUUCCUUGUUUUCUCCUGCCACUGAUCUUGUGGUUGUACUCCGAGCCGAUGCACAGAGCUCUGAACUGGGCUAAGAGACGUGUGUCUAGAUGCAUGCAUGCAUAAAUUUUGUUGUUUUAUUACACUUUAUUCAUGCAAUGACAAUAAACCUUGCUAUGAUAACGGUCACACU